rnacentral:rRNA from 1 species
GACGAACGCUGGCGGCGUGCUUAACACAUGCAAGUCGAACGGAAAGGCCCCUUUGGGGGUCCUCGAGUGGCGCACGGGUGAGUAACACGUGAGUAACCUGCCCUUGACUUCGGGAUAACUUCAGGAAACUGGGGCUAAUACCGGAUAGGCAUCCUUGCUGCAUGGUGGGGGUUGGAAAGCUUCGGCGGUUUUGGAUGGACUCGCGGCUUAUCAGCUUGUUGGUGGGGUAGUGGCUUACCAAGGCUUUGACGGGUAGCCGGCCUGAGAGGGCGACCGGCCACAUUGGGACUGAGAUACGGCCCAGACGCCGACGGGAGGAAGCAGUGGGGAAGAUUGCACAAGGGGCGGAAGCCGGAUGCAGCAACGCCGCGUGCGGGAUGACGGCCUUCGGGUUGGAAACCGCUUUCAGCAGGGGCGAAGCUUGUGGUGACGGUACCUGCAGAAGAAGCACCGGCUAACUACGUG